GAGUCGGGCCUGCUCGGUGAAUAAGUUUUUAACAGCUGCGGUAUUUUAACUGUACUAAGGUAGCAUAAUAAUUUGCCUUAUAAUUUGAGGCUAGAAUGAAUGGUUUGACGAAGGUUAAUCUGUCUCCAUCUUAUUUUUUAGAAUUUAAUUUUUAAAGUGAAAAAGCUUAAAUUUUUUAAAGGGACGAGAAGACCCUAAUGAGCUUAUAAUUUUAUUAUUGUUGUUUAAAAUAUUUGAUCAAUAAUAUAUAAAUUUUAAUUGGGGUGAUUGAGGAAUAAGUUGAUUGAAGUAACUUCCUCAAAGUAAAUGUUUAUAGAUAAAGUAACCAAUAUAAUAUUGCUUAUAAUAUAGUUACCAUAGGGAUAACAGCGUAAUUUGUUUAGAGAGUUCUUAUUGAAAAACGAGAUUGCGACCUCGAUGUUGGAUUAAAGUAACCUUAAGGUGCAGAAGCUUUAGUAAGGUAAAUCUGUUCGAUUUUUAAUACUUUACGUGAUCUG
rnacentral:rRNA from 1 species